UAGGGAAUCUUCCACAAUGGACGCAAGUCUGAUGGAGCAACGCCGCGUGAGUGAAGAAGGUUUUCGGAUCGUAAAGCUCUGUUGUUGGUGAAGAAGGAUAGAGGCAGUAACCGGUCUUUAUUUGACGGUAAUCAACCAGAAAGUCACGGCUAACUACGUGCCAGCAGCCGCGGUAAUACGUAGGUGGCAAGCGUUGUCCGGAUUUAUUGGGCGUAAAGCGAGCGCAGGCGGAAUGAUAAGUCUGAUGUGAAAGCCCACGGCUCAACCGUGGAACUGCAUCGGAAACUGUCAUUCUUGAGUGCAGAAGAGGAGAGUGGAACUCCAUGUGUAGCGGUGGAAUGCGUAGAUAUAUGGAAGAACACCAGUGGCGAAGGCGGCUCUCUGGUCUGCAACUGACGCUGAGGCUCGAAAAGCAUGGGUAGCGAACAGGAUUAGAUACCCUGGUAGUCCAUGCCGUAAAACGAUGAGCG
rnacentral:rRNA from 1 species